rnacentral:lncRNA from 1 species
UCCAGGAGCUGAGAAUCUGCUUAAAUUGACUUAGCAGGGCUCAGGAAAUGGCAUUCUGAAGUCCAAAUCUAACACACCACCUAGUUUUGUAAGAGCCUUAAGGAGUUCCUAACUUCUGGGUGAGAGUCAGAGAAGUGGGAUCAUCACCCCCAUCCUGUACAUGGGAGGUAAGAAAGGGGACAGGAAGGUCUUCAGCCAAGUUUGCAAUUCUUGAAAGAAUCCUGUCUGAGACUGUGAGGCGGUUUCAGGAGCCCAUAAAUUUCUCUUUGGUCUGAGCCUUUUCUGUGUGGGCUUCUGUCACUUGCAACCAGAAGAGACAUCUGUUGAACUCAAAGGAUGAGAAAAGGGUAUCUGGGACAGAUGGGGAAGCUGAGGCCCAGAGAAGUUAAGUAAGUUGUCUAAGUUCACAAAGUUACCAGAAGAUUGUGGAGUGGUCUUCCAGGGAGAGUUAUCUUGUAUCAGGAAGGAGAGAUGAUUACUUAGGAAAGCCCAAGAAACAACAGGUAUUUGAAAGCUAUAGCAGUUCAUCUGGGGUUGAUCUGGGAGCAUACAGCAAAAAAAGAGCUAAAAUGCAAGGCACCAACGUAGAAAAGCCCACCUGGUCUCUCUUCUUAGGGUGGCUCCUCUCUGUCUCUCUGCCUCUGCCUCUUGUCCUAGCCCAGCAUGGCCGCAGGUCCCAGGUUCUGUGACAUCACAGUGCAGUGCCCACAGCUCACUGUUGGUUCCUGCCAUUGAGAUUAUCUGAUUGGCCACUGGCCAGCCAAUGGUGGAUCAGACUUUGGAGCAGGUGAUCCUUGGACGCCCACAGUACAUCACCUUCAUGAGCGCAUCAGUGAACACCAGUCUAAGGAAGACAUCUCUGAACGUAAUUUUGGAGAUUUUGAUGAGUUCCAUUGAAACAAGGAGGAAUGUGAUGUCCAGUAUCAGUUCUGCAGACCCAAGGACAAAGAAAAUUCUGUGAUAAACUCAUCCAGUGUGACUGUAAUGUGGGUAUCUAUUUGAUACCUCCAAGUAACUGUUUAUUCUUGUGCCAGUUGAGUAGAUGGUACGGGCCAGUUGGUGUUGAUUAGUGAACCACGGACAAAGGGCAUAUGUCACAUGAGUUGCUCCUGGAUAAAGUCACCCAGUCACUUCCUGAUGAAUAUCCUGCAUAAACUCCAAAGACAAAAGAGAGUUAAGGUUGUUUUUCUCACCUUAGACCAGGCAGUGAUAGAAGAACUGGGGGAAGAGAUAAUUGUAUUUAUCUUGGUGAGGGUGACAAAUCAUGGCAAAUGAGCAAAAUGAAAAAGGUUUGCAGAUUUCAACAAACUUCUAAAAGAUCAGCUUACAGUCAUGUAUACAUCUCUUCCUUUGUUUCUAGUUUAUUUGCAUCUCAUUACUAUGUUCUCGGUUUAGGAUACAAGACACCGGACUUUCAAAUCAACAAUUGUUUCAAAAGACUCCUACUGGAUUCCUGCUAGUGAUGGGAGAAAAUUAUCAUUCUGUGAGUUGUCAAUAAAUGUUUAACCACAGUUCACCUUUUUUGGAUUUUAAGAUGUCUGCGCCACUAGGACGCUCAGAAAAAUUACCCUCCAAAUGCUACUUGGAGGAGGAUUCAGUACCACCCUGAGAAGGCAACCAGCUACAACCUUGGUUGUAGUUUCGGUUGCAGAAAGAGCGUGAAGUGUGCAACUCAUGUCUGUCUUCAUUUUAAUAGGCUAGUUAAUCUGUAGCCAGAGAUGAUUAAGGAGGUCAUUAAAGGAAAACAAGCUGCCCACCAUGCUGAUGCCUGGUUGUUCAGAUCGUUGAGGUGGUGUAGAGAUGACGCACACUGGCUCAGUUUACCCACAUUUGGAUCUACGGACCUGCAAGGAUGAAAAGAAUAUGUCUAAGAUCCGGCCCUGCUGGAAAUUUUCCAUGCUCUUCAUUCGUUCUCCUGUAUUUCCUAACGCCAAUAAAAGAGGAGAUCCCUG